rnacentral:rRNA from 1 species
CGAGUGGCGAACGGGCGAGUAAUAUAUCGGAACGUGCCCAGUAAUGGGGGAUAGCCCGGCGAAAGCCGGAUUAAUACCGCAUACGACCUACGGGUGAAAGCGGGGGAUCGCAAGACCUCGCGUUAUUGGAGCGGCCGAUAUCAGAUUAGGUAGUUGGUGGGGUAAAGGCCUACCAAGCCUGCGAUCUGUAGUUGGUCUGAGAGGACGACCAGCCACACUGGGACUGAGACACGGCCCAG